rnacentral:rRNA from 1 species
GACCAGACUCCUACGGGAGGCAGCAGUGGGGGAUAUUGCACAAUGGGGGGAACCCUGAUGCAGCGACGCCGCGUGGGUGAAGAAGCGCCUCGGCGCGUAAAGCCCUGUCAGCAGGGAAGAAAAUGACGGUACCUGAAGAAGAAGCCCCGGCUAACUACGUGCCAGCAGCCGUGGUAAUACGUAGGGGGCAAGCGUUAUCCGGAUUUACUGGGUGUAAAGGGAGCGUAGACGGUGAAGCAAGUCUGAAGUGAAAGGCGGGGGCUCAACCCCCGGACUGCUUUGGAAACUGUUUGACUGGAGUGCAGGAGAGGUAAGUGGAAUUCCUAGUGUAGCGGUGAAAUGCGUAGAUAUUAGGAGGAACACCAGUGGCGAAGGCGGCUUACUGGACUGUAACUGACGUUGAGGCUCGAAAGCGUGGGGAGCAAACAGGAUUAGAUACCCUCGUA